AGGCUUAGGUGCCCUCUUCAAACUAGUUAGGAGCUGUUUAGUGAUUUUAGAACAAAUACAAGGAUUGAUGUGUUUAUCUUUUAUUGCAUGCUUGACUGAUCAAGUACUAGUGUAUGCAAGGUAGUCGUUCUAGAGUACGAAACCUAUUACCUUUUGACCUUGAAAUAGAACGAACCCUUAGGAACAUUCGAGCUAAGAUUAAAACAUUAGGAUCAUCCCCACCUCUUAAGAUAGCUGAAGAACAACCCAAACUCCUGAGGGAGUACUUU
rnacentral:lncRNA from 1 species